AUUUUUUCCCUCUGGAGCAUUCUGAUCGAUUAAUUCCUUUCUCUCUCUUCCAAAUCUUCUAUAGACACAGCAUUUCUGCAGAGUCUAUAACGUGGUGCAACAAAAAUAAAUAAAAAAUAAAAAAUCAAGACAACGCUGAGAGAAAUACUGAAAAUGAACAAGAGAGAAAAAAAUAAUAAUAAUUAAAAUGCAGCAGUUAAGAUCAGUAAUU